AUACGGAGGGUGCGAGCGUUAAUCGGAAUUACAGGGCGUAAAGCGUACGUAGGCGGUUGGUUAAGUUAGAUGUGAAAGCCCCGGGCUUAACCUGGGAACUGCAUUUAAAGCUGGCGAACUAGAGUUGAGUAGAGGGGAGUGGAAUUUCAGGUGUAGCGGUGAAAUGCGUAGAGAUCUGAAGGAACACCAGUGGCGAAGGCGACUCCCUGGACUCGAACUGACGCUGAGGUACGAAAGCGUGGGUAGCAAACGGGAUUAGAAACCCCAGUAGUCC
rnacentral:rRNA from 1 species